GAUUGAGCUCCGCCGCCGCCGCCGCCGCAGCCGCCGCCGCAGCCGCCGCAGCCGCUACGCUUUCCCGCGAGACACCGCUGAUGCUCGGGGUACUGUGCGCGCGCCCCAAGCCUUGGAUCGUCGCCUCCUGCUUCUCCCACGCCUCCGCGGCCCACCACUGCAGCCGUCUGCCCUGGGCCUCCGCCGUCCGCCUCCAGCUCGCCGCCCUCACCGCCGCCGCCGCCGACUCCCCCGACCGCCGGCGCCACCACUCCAGCUCGUGCCGCCUCGGCUCCGGCGGCGGCUCCUCCCCCUGCGGCGCCCACCCCGGCGGGGUCGCCUCGAUAUGGCACGCGAUCCUCCCGUCCGGGGAGGGCGACUCCCGGCGGACGAUGGAUCCCCGGCGGCCGGUGUUCCGCGGGGAGGGGUCGUGGAACGUGGCCUGGGACGCGAGGCCCGCCCGGUGGCUGCACAGGCCGGACUCCGCCUGGCUCCUGUUCGGCGUCUGCGCCUGCCUCGCGCCGGUUGACGCGGCCGAUUUGAACCGCGAGGAGAUCGUUCCGGAGGAGAGGGUCGAGGAUUGCGAUUCCUCGGACGAGGCGAAGCGGAACUCUCCUGAUUACAGAGUGACAGGGGUGCUGGCGGAUGGUCGAUGCCUAUUCAGAGCAAUAGCUCAUUGCGCGUGCUUGAGAAAGGGAGAAGCAGCUCCAGAUGACAAUCGUCAGAGAGAGCUCGCUGAUGAAUUGAGAGCUCAAGUUGUGGAUGAGCUCUUAAAGAGGCGGGAAGAAACAGAGUGGGCCAUUGAAGGAGACUUCGAUGCAUAUAUUGAGAGGAUCCAACAACCUUAUGUAUGGGGCGGAGAACCAGAGUUGCUGAUGGCUUCUCAUGUCCUGAAGACAUUAAUCUCGGUCUUCAUGGUGGAUAGAAGCUCUGGCAGUCUGGUCAAUAUUGCAAAGUACGGCGAAGAGUAUAGGAAGGAUGAAGAGAGUCCUAUCAACGUCCUGUUUCAUGGGUAUGGUCACUACGACAUACUGGAGUCAUUCGCCGGUCAAAGCUAUUAGAUAGCAUGCGUGUAGAAUUCGAGUAAGAAACUUCCAAUGACAAUCCAGUUUUGUUAGAUGAGUUAUCUUGUGAAGUAACAGCUGCCUUAUCACAUUAUGGGGACUCACCAAAGGUGGUAAAGUGGUUCUCUUUCAUGAGAUCAUAGAUUUGAGCUGCGUCCUAACGGGAUGGAUAGACGGGAUAUGAAUUUUUUACCUAUGUCAUUUUUUGGGGACGUUGAUCGGGGGAUGAAAGCCCGAAUUACAUUAAGUAUGACACAUGCAUGAGGCAAAGUUCUUGCUGCUCUUAUCCCUCAUGAGUGUCGGCUUUAAACCGGACGAGGGAUCGGGGCCUGAAAAGUCUAAGAGGCUCGGUGUUGAAAGCACGGUCGGACCCGUGAGCAGAGGAAGGAGACAAGAAAUUAGCAGAACCUCUGCAGUUUCUCGAGCUAUUUCCCUGAUCAAACGGUCAGCACAAACGAGGACAAGCAUGUUCGGCCCAACAAUAGCACCAGUUUCUGCAAUUGGGCUCCAUCUUUCCCAGCCUCCCCUUCUUUGUGCUAUUUGACAUUUAACAAUCCAAACAUCGGUCCGAAUAUGCCAAGACAAAUUUGUGGAAUUGAUUUAUGAAACGUGUCAGACUAUUGCUGAAUCUUAAA